AUCCUCGUAGCUGAGCUGGUAGUGUGCGCUGUAUAAAAGCGUAGGCAGCGACCAUACGUGGGUUCGAAUCCCACCAAGGCUA
rnacentral:tRNA from 1 species